rnacentral:lncRNA from 1 species
CUUGUUAGGGCUUUAAAGGAAUCAAGAAGGGGUCAGGGGAACUGGAAUAUGGGAAUGAAGAUUUUGUGAGAGGGCAACCUGAGCGUUUGAAGACGAUGAUGAUCAAAGCUUGGAGGAAGAACAAGGCCAAAUUUAAAGCUAGAAAGGCAGCAGAGGAAAUGCAACGCUUACAGAUUUGAUCAGAAUCAUCCCCUCGUGCUUCCUUGCACACACAUUUUAUGAAUAACCUUUUGCCAUGCAAACAUUUUUGAGCAUUUUGCAUUUGCACCUUAAAGAGGCAAAUGGAUCGCCUGCAACUUCAACGUUUGCAAAUCUGAUCUGAACCAUCAUCCUACUCGCCCUGCUCCUCCUUUUUAUAAAUCAAUAAACACUCUUUUCAUGGGGGUUGUUGUUGUUUAGUUAAGUUGCUUUCUCUUAGUUGUAUUAUAUAAUUAACAACAAUACUUUAGUGGGCUUGGCUUUGUUGUGAUGAUGGAAUUUGGGAAUCGAUUGUAACCUCUAGUAUUAAUUUUGUUAUCUAAUCUCUUUCUUUAUUCUUCUUGGACUAUGGAUAGGGCAGUUAGUUCAUCUUGUUUCACUUUUGAUUUCGAUCGUGGAACAAGAUAUCAAAAAAUAUAAAGAAACUCACAACAAGAGUAAACUUCACAAAAUCUCUCCAUUGACGCUUAUUUUUAACAUCUUCGUAAUAAGUAGUAAUUUUUUUUUUUUUGGUCAACGGAGUAACUUUUAUAUAGUAAGUUCACUUCUUUUUUCUUUUGGGAAAAUUCCCAAAAAAUACCUGACCUAUUUAAUAUUUGCCAGAAAAAUACAUAAACAUUUUUCGUUGCGAGAAAAAUACGCAAACUAAUUUAUAGAUGAUAAAAAAUACGUGAACUAUUUCGAUUUUCCAGUUUCCCACAUAUUAUGGUCACGAUUUUCGACAAAACUAAGACAACAUUAAACAUUGUUACUAUUACAAUCUCGUGAAGAAGUUUUGUUCUUAUCGUAGUCAUAAUCAUACCAAUAUCUCUCUUUCUUUAUAUUUUAGCUUUAUCUUCCAUCUUUGUUUUCUUAUAGUUAAGUUUUUGUUAUGAUUAGAAAUUUAGGAAAAAUGAAAAAUAGGGAAACGAUGUUUAUGAUUGUGUUAGUUUCGUUGAAAAUUGUGAUCAUUACAUGUGGGAAACUGGAAAAUCGAAAUAGUUCACGUAUUUUUUUAUCAUUUAUAAAUUAGUUUACGUAUUUUUCUGACAACGAAAAAAGUUCAUGUAUUUUUUGGCAAAUAUUAAAUAAUUCAUGUUUUCUUGGGGAAUUUUCCCCUUUUCUUUUUAAUAAUUUUGAUUUCGAUCGUAAUUUAGGUAUUAAAAUUAUAGAGUUGAUAAAUUAAUAACUGCUAAUUAAUUAACGAAAAAUUUGCUUAAUUUAUAUUUUUUUUUCUAAAGUGAAAUUAUCUACUCCAUCGUUAAAAGUUAAAACCCUCCAUUGAUGUUAAUUUUUUUAUAUCCGAAAAAAUUAUGAUUACUUGAUUAAGGUGUUUAUUUCACUUUCGGUACUAUUAAAUCAUGCCAAUUUGUCGCUCAAUGAAGUAAAUUCGCUGUAGCAAUGAUGGCUAAGCCCAAGCCCAUAAAAGGCCCCGCACAAGAAAUUAGGUCUUUCGUAUAUUAAAAACUUUCAAAGGUUGAUUCUUCUUUCCCAUUUAAUUCUCAUCUUUCAGAGAGUUUGGGAGUUGAUUGGUUGAUUCUCGGGGGUUAGGGUUCAUAGAGCGUCGGAUCUGUAAUCUUGUUCAAGUGUGUUAAGGAAGAAUGGCUCUCAAUUUCCCGAAGGGAGUGUCUGUGUUCCAUAUGAGAAUCUACAAGGUUGUGGAAGAUCCUUCGUCGGAUUCAGUAAUCUCAUGGGGCAAAGACAACAACAGUUUCGUCAUUUGGAAUCUCGAAGAGUUUACUCGCAGAGACAUUGUUGGCGAUUUCGAUUGCAGCAGAUUCUCAGAGUUUCGCUCUGAGCUUAGGUAUUAUGUAAGUGUUCUCCUCUAAUUGUUGCGUUUAAGAAAUUGUCUCUGGCUCUCAGGUUUUGAAUAUUGCUAUGUGUUGGUUACUUGGUAGGGGUUUAAAAGAAUCAAGAAGGGGUCAGGGGAACUGGAAUAUGGGAAUGAAGAUUUUGUGAGAGGGCAACCUGAGCGUUUGAAGACGAUGAUGAUCAAAGCUUGGAGGAAGAACAAGGCCAAAUUUAAAGCUAGAAAGGCAGCAGAGGAACUGCAACGCUUACAGAUUUGAUCAGAAUCAUCCUGUCGUGCUUCUAGGCAUUAGUGAAUAAUAAUAAUC